rnacentral:rRNA from 1 species
UACAGAGGGUGCGAGCGUUAAUCGGAAUUACUGGGCGUAAAGCGCGCGUAGACGGCUUUGUAAGUCGGAUGUGAAAGCCCCCGGCUCACCCGGGGAUCUGCAUCCCAAACUGCUUGGCUUGAGUAUGGGAGAGGAUAGGGGAAUUCCUGGUGUAGCGGUGAAAUGCGUAGAUAUCAGGAGGAACACCGGUGGCGAAGGCGCCUAUCUGGCCCAAUACUGACGCUGAGGCGCGAAAGCUAGGGGAGCAAACGGG